CUCCUUACAUUCUCCCACUCUGUGUUCCAUGCUCAUAUAGUCUCUAACAAUUCUUCCGCGUAGCCCUCAAUGAUUCCCCCACCCCAUGUUCCACACUUGUGUAGCUUCUAACAAUUCUUACACAUACCUCUUAAUGUUCUUCCACUCCACGCUCCACUGUGGAGUGGCUUCUGAUAUUCUUCCGCCCCGAACUUUCCCCUAUAAGAACCCCC
rnacentral:sRNA from 1 species